GACGAGGUGGCCGAGUGGUUAAGGCGAUGGACUGCUAAUCCA
rnacentral:tRNA from 1 species